rnacentral:lncRNA from 1 species
AAGGACAAGGUCCUUCGUCUAAGAAGAAGAGUUCGACCUUGAUCGAAUGAUGACGGGAUAACAUUUUGAUAACUUCGAAAAGACACACUUUAAGGCCAAGGGCCUUCGCCAAAGGAUAAGAGUUUGACCUUGAUCGUACGACGACGGGUUAAUAUUUCUACAAGUUAGAAAUAACACCGUUUAAGGCCAAGGGCCUUCUCCAAAGAAGAAGAGUUCGACCUUGAUCGAACGACGACGGGUUAACAUUUUAAUAAUUUCGAAAUAAUUCCCUUUAAGGACAAGGGCCUUCGCUAAAGAAGAAGAGUUCGAUCUUGAUCGAACGACGACGGGUUAAAAUUUCAAUAAGUUCGAAAUAAGACCCUUUAAGGCCAAGGGCCAUGGACAAUAAAGAAGAGUUCGACCUUGAUCGAACGACGACGGGUUAAUAUUUCGACAAGUUCGAAAUAAUACACUUUAAGGCCAAGGGCCUUCACCAAAGAAGAAGAGUUCGAACUUGAUCGAACGACGACGGGUUAAUAUUUCGAUAACAUCGAAAAGACACCCUUUAAGGCCAAGGGCCUUCGCCAAAGAAGAAGAGUUCGACCUUGAUCGUACGACGACGGGUUAAUAUUUCUACAAGUUAGAAAUAAACACCGUUUAAGGCCAAGGGCCUUCUCCAAAGAAGAAGAGUUCGACCUUGAUCGAACGACUACGGGUUAACAUUUUGAUAAGUUCGAAAUAACAUCCUUUAAGGCCAAGGGCUUUCGCCAAAGAAGAAGAGUUCGACCUUGAUCGAACGAUGACGGGUUAAUAUUUCGACAAGUUAGAAAUAAUGCACUUUAAGGCCAAAGAAGAAGUGUUCGACCAUGAUAGAACGACGACGGGUUAAUAUUUCGACAAGUUCGAAAUAAUACACUUUAAGGCCAAGGCCUGCGCCAAAGAAGAAGUGUUCGACCUUGAUCGAACGACGACGGGUUAAUAUUUUGACAAGUUC